UACGGAGGGGGCUAGCGUUGUUCGGAUUUACUGGGCGUAAAGGGCGCGUAGGCGGCCUUCUAAGUCGAACGUGAAAUCCCUGGGCUCAACCCAGGAACUGCGUCCGAUACUGAAAGGCUUGAAUCCGGGAGAGGGAUGCGGAAUUCCAGGUGUAGCGGUGAAAUGCGUAGAUAUCUGGAGGAACACCGGUGGCGAAGGCGGCAUCCUGGACCGGUAUUGACGCUGAGGCGCGAAAGCCAGGGGAGCAAACGGG
rnacentral:rRNA from 1 species